GGCUCGGUAGUUUAGUUGAUAAAGCGCUCGUUUAGCAUACAAGAAUCCUGGGUUCGAAUCCCAGCCGAACAC
rfam:Aedes aegypti strain Liverpool supercont1.19 genomic scaffold, whole genome shotgun sequence.